rnacentral:rRNA from 1 species
GAUGAACGCUGGCGGCGUGCCUAAUACAUGCAAGUCGAGCGAACAGACGAGGAGCUUGCUCCUCUGACGUUAGCGGCGGACGGGUGAGUAACACGUGGAUAACCUACCUAUAAGACUGGGAUAACUUCGGGAAACCGGAGCUAAUACCAGAUAACAUGUUGAACCGCAUGGUUCAACAGUGAAAGACGGUCUUGCUGUCACUUAUAGAUGGAUCCGCGCCGCAUUAGCUAGUUGGUAAGGUAACGGCUUACCAAGGCAACGAUGCGUAGCCGACCUGAGAGGGUGAUCGGCCACACUGGAACUGAGACACGGUCCAGACUCCUACGGGAGGCAGCAGUAGGGAAUCUUCCGCAAUGGGCGAAAGCCUGACGGAGCAACGCCGCGUGAGUGAAGAAGGUCUUCGGAUCGUAAAACGCUGUUAUUAGGGAAGAACAAAUGUGUAAGUAACUAUGCACGUCUUGACGGUACCUAAUCAGAAAGCCACGGCUAACUACGU